GUAAAUGAAAUCGACAUUGGAUUCAAAAUUUGGACUAAAAGUACGCGCCAGUCAAAGAACAACCAGGUCACCUUUCCGUCCGACCUCCACCAUGGUCCACCGCGCCGCAAAUCGCUUCCAGCGGUGAUGGCCGCCAAAAACAAAAAUCAAACAUAUCACCGGCCUCGUCUCGUUCUCCUGACCAUGAAUCUGUCACUAUUUUCUCAAAAUUUCACAUCUAAAGUCCUAACCAUAUUGUACACCUCAAGAACCCUAAAAAUUCAUCCACAAAUUACAUAGCGAAUAGCAAGAUUCAGAGCCCUACAUGUUAGGGUUUUGAUCCGCCUUGAUGAAAGCUACAACAUGAUAACCUAAUUACAAAGAAAUGGUGAAGAUGAACAUACCUUCCAAGCUGAGAAUUGCUCUGGCGAAGUGUUAGAUCAGAGAAGAUGACACAACAAGGGAAAAUCACUUGAACCAGGUAACUCACCAUCUUAAUUCUUCUUCAAUAUUUCACUUCUUCUUCUGCAUUUCUGUGAGAAUCAAAAUUGGUAUUGUGAGGGACUAAAAGAGUGGUUUAGCUCACUCUUAUUGAAGCUUCAAUGGAGUUUUGGAAAACAAGCUCUGAGUGAGGGAGAGAAUUGAGAUCAAAGAGAGAUCAAAAAUCUGGAAUUUUCAGAGUGAGUGUGUAUAUGUCCCUUGAGUUAAUAAAGGGGAGUGAUUUAUAGGCUUUGAUUUAUGUUAUGAAAUGCAACUGAAAUGCAUCCAAAAUUCCAAUGAAAUUCAGAAGUUAGUUGUGGAGUUAAUUAAUGUUGAAUUCAGUUACUCAGUUUGUUAUGACCGGUUUUUUCAUGUGAUAAUUGGAUCGAAGUCAUUUAGAAUUAUGUUGAUGACCUGCUAAACAUGUUGCAAGUUGUGUCUUAAUGUGCUCAGUGUGGAAAAUUGCAAGUGGAUUCGUGUCUGAAAGUGUUGCAGGUGGCAGGUGGAAUCGAGAAUGACUUCCAAUUGCAUGUACCAUUUCACAGACCUAUAGGUUUUUCUUUUGUUGGAUUUGUCAAUUACAGGUGUGAAUGGUCAGUUAGUUGUAAGUUAAAUGGUUUAUGCUGGGAUGGGCCUGCCAUGAUGAUGCUUGCUUUGAGUGAAGCCAAUGAUGUUGUGUUAAUGUUGUUGUUGCUGUAGUUCUAAAGGUCACGACUUUGUUAGGUUUGGCUGCUAGGUAAGUAACAUUUAGCUUACUUAGAAUCAAAUGUCCUUGCCAUGAUGAAUUUCUUGAACAUGAUGCUAACUAAUAUGAAUAUGAUUCCAUGUACAUGAACUGCUGCCAUAGUCUUGAACAAAACAUGCUUAUCCCUGCCAUACAAUGGUUCUACACAUUUGUAUCAUGUCAUGGGCUGAUAACUUUAAAUGCAACUAGUAUUUAUUUGAAUGAAUAUGAUCCUGACUUGUAUGCAAUGCCUUGAAAUGUGCGCUGCUCACUGAUGUUUUUACUUGGUGCAAUGCAUGAUGCCAUGGAUUAGUUUUGUGUGAUGUAUUGCUUAUGCAUGACAUGACUGUUAGCAUAAAUGUUUAGAAACAUGUGGUUAAUUGGUUUAUGUUGGUUCAGACUUCGGUGUGUGUUCAUGUUGUGCAUUGCUUGGCCUUGAUGGUAGCUUGUAGUCUUGCAUUUACUUGCAGGUUUGCUCAUAGGAUAAGUUACCAUUACAAGGCAUUAUCAUGUGGCAAAAUGAACAAAGUAUGACUUGAAGAAGAAAACUUGCUUCGUGAAGCAACAAUUAAUCAUGGAAUUGAAAUGGAAGAUUAGCAUGAAGCAAUUAGCAUUAGGUUUAGGGAAGAUGUGAGUAGACUUUGUUCAAAGUUGACCAAAAAGUCAAAUGUUGACCAAAGUCAACACUUGGUCAAAGUUGCCAAAAUUUGUAAUUUUUCAUUUAAUGGACAUCUUAUUUGUAAUGAUGGGAUUUGAUGUAUAUGAAUGAAAUUGACACUUGUUUAUGAAUGAA